rnacentral:rRNA from 1 species
UGUAAGCGUAUACCAAAGUUGUUGCAGUUAAAACGCUCGUAGUCGGAAUUUGGCAGUUCCGGAAGUGUGCACGUCGUGUGCGCACUUUGCGGGGACUGCUUUUGUGGUCUUGCGUAGGAUGAGGCACUUUCAUUAGUGAACGUCCUCACGCAACCACUCUUUACUGUGAGAAAAUCAGGGUGCUCAAAGCAGGCAUUUGCCGUGAAUGUAUUAGCAUGGAAUAAUAGAAUAGGACUCGGUUCUAUUUUGUUGGUUUGUUGGGACUGAGUAAUGAUUAAGAGGGACAGUUGGGGGCAUUUGUAUUCCGGCGCUAGAGGUGAAAUUCUUAGAUUGCCGGAAGACAAACUGCUGCGAAAGCGUCUGCCAAGGAUGUUUUCAUUGA